rnacentral:lncRNA from 1 species
GUAAAGGCAUAUAUUUGCUUCAGAAAAAAAUUAACAUUAGCAAUCAGAACUACAUCUUAAAUAUCCAAAAUAUGACUUUGUUAACAUUGCCUCUCUGGAAUUUAACUACGGUUUUUUGUUUUCUGUGGGGUUUUUUUUUGUUUGUUUGUUUGUUUUUUUUGGUCAUAGAAAUUAGUAAGAAAUAGUGGCCCUCAGAGUUCCCAUCAUAGCUCAGUGGUAACGAACCCGACUAGCAUCCAUGAGGAUGUGGGUUCAAUCCGUGGUUGCCAUGAGCUGUGGUGUAGGCUGGAAGACGCGGCUUGGAUCUGGUGUUGCUGUGGCUGUGGUGUAGGCCGGCAGCUGCAGCUUCGAUUUGACCUGUAGCCUGGGAACCUCCAAAUGCCGAGGGUUCGGCCCUAAAAAAAGAGCAAAAGAAAAAAGAAAGGAAAGAAAUAGGGCCCUUGGACAUAAUGUGAAUUGAUGGAAUUCCUCUUACCCUCACAGUGCCGUCUGUGAAAUGGAGCGAAUAACCCUUAACUCAUAGAACGGAUAGCGUGUGCUAAGGGCCCAGCUCUAGCAGACACGCAGUGAGCACCGCUGGGCGCUGUUCGCCCUCUUUCAAGGACUUGACCUCCACAAGCCCUUCGAGCAGCAUCUGGCCUUCUGGUCCCUGACCUGCGUCAGCCACUCCGAGGGCGGGUGCACACCCUCCCUGGGAGGUUAGUGCGCAGGCGCUGUGGGCACCGGGCGUGUCAGCUCUCCCUGCCGGUCAGGACAGGCGGGAAGGACCAGGCAUCGUUUCCAGACUCCUCUCCGGCCUCCGCUGCGCCCCGGGAAGCUGAGCAUUGCAUUUUGAGGUCUGGUCGUGAGGCAUUUCAAGUCCUUUGGUAGAUCAAGAUCUCCACCUGUGAGAAAGGUACUUUGCUGGUAAUACUGUUACCUCUUUUCUCUGAGGGGUGGGAUUAUGCAAAACUUUUACUUUCUAAAUUAAUUUUUUCUUUUUUUUAGGACGGCACCCACAGCAUAUGGAAGUUCCCAGGCUAGGGGUGGAAUCAGAGCUGUAGCUCUGGCCUACACCACAGCCACAGAAAUGUGGGCUCUAAGCUGUGAAUGCGACCUACACCACAGCUCAUGGCAACGCCGGAUCCCUGACCCACUGAGCGAGGCCAGGGAUUGAACCUGCAUCUUCAUGGAUACAAGUCGGAUUCAUUUCCACUGUGCAGCAAUGGCAACUCCCUUAAAUUAAAUAUUUCUGAAAGGUUCAAAAUUUUUCAAUGUUCACGGGUUGCUUUUGUAAUUAGAAAAAAAUAUAAACACAUAUUUCUUUAAAAUGUUCAAUGCCAAAAAAAAGGCAACUCCACAAAAAAGAAAGAUAUUUUACCUGUGGAGCUCUCCAAGGGUAGUAUUUCUCUGUCACCUAAUACAUCUUGUCCUUUUUAUCUUCUAAUGAUUAAAUCCUAUGCUUUUCUAGAAAUUGUAAUGUCUUAAUUGAAUUAUAAUAACCUCAGGUCUCUGCCCCCAGUCUUGCCCUUUUCAAAUCACUGUUGCUGGAGGGAUCUUUCUGAAACAGAUCUGAGCACGUUACAUCCCUGCUGCAAAUUAUCUGAGGCUCUUCCUCCCCUGCAGGCUCCAGGGACGCCAUCAACCAAUCCCUACCUACCUGCUUCUCUAGUCCCCUUGCCCUGUACCUAUCACUUUGCUCUCUCUCGCUCUCUUUUUUUGGGGGUGGGGGGGUAUGCCCAUGGUUGAAAUUCCCAGGCCCAGGGUAGAAUCCAAGCCACAGCAGUGA